rnacentral:misc_RNA from 1 species
UAUCAUCAGGCGCCUUCUUCUUCUGGAGGCUGGCGCUUGGACUUGGAUGUGCUGCCGGGCGGCGACGCUCGGCUCGUCCUAAAUGUAUUAGCGAGACCCCUGUGGCCUUUGGACUUUGGCUCUCACUCGGCGUGAUAAGAUCACCCGUCGAGAUGUCGUCCUGGCUGACUAGGAAGGCUUGCUUCCAACCGUCCCCUGCGGACAACUUUGACA